rnacentral:tRNA from 1 species
AGGAGCUUAGGAUAAACAAACCGAGAGCCUUCAAAGCCCUAAAUAAGAGUUACACCUCUUAGCCCCUG